rnacentral:rRNA from 1 species
UCGAAGGUAGCAUAAUCAGUAGUUUUUUAAUUGAAAACUUGUAUGAAGGGUUGAACGAAAUAUUAGCUGUUUCAAAGAAAAAAUUAGAAAUUAACUUUUUAGUAAAAAGGCUAAAAUAAAAUUAAAAGACGAGAAGACCCUAUAGAGUUUUAUAUUUUUAAUAAUUUAAUUUAUUUAUAUUAAUUUAAUUUUUUUUUUUAAAAAUAUUUUGUUGGGGUGACAGUAAAAUUUAAAAAACUUUUAUUUAUUUAUUACAUUAAUUUAUGAAUAAUUGAUCCAAUUUUAUUGAUUAUAAGAUUAAAUUACCUUAGGGAUAACAGCGUAAUUUUUUUAUAGAGUUCUUAUCGAUAAAAAAUUUUGCGACCUCGAUGUUGGAUUAA